rnacentral:rRNA from 1 species
AAUAGAUACCCUGGUAGUCCACGCCGUAAACGAUGAGUGCUAAGUGUUGGGGGGUUUCCGCCCCUCAGUGCUGCAGCUAACGCAUUAAGCACUCCGCCUGGGGAGUACGGUCGCAAGACUGAAACUCAAAGGAAUUGACGGGGGCCCGCACAAGCGGUGGAGCAUGUGGUUUAAUUCGAAGCAACGCGAAGAACCUUACCAGGUCUUGACAUCCCGGUGACCACUAUGGAGACAUAGUUUCCCCUUCGGGGGCAACGGUGACAGGUGGUGCAUGGUUGUCGUCAGCUCGUGUCGUGAGAUGUUGGGUUAAGUCCCGCAACGAGCGCAACCCUUAUUCUUAGUUGCCAUCAUUCAGUUGGGCACUCUAAGGAGACUGCCGGUGAUAAACCGGAGGAAGGUGGGGAUGACGUCAAAUCAUCAUGCCCCUUAUGACCUGGGCUACACACGUGCUACAAUGGACGGUACAAACGGUUGCCAACCCGCGAGGGGGAGCUAAUCCGAUAAAACCGUUCUCAGUUCGGAUUGUAGGCUGCAACUCGCCUACAU